rnacentral:rRNA from 1 species
CUAGUCGUGGUCACGACAGCAUGCGUCGAGGUCUUCAUGGCGCCACGGCUCUCCUUUCGCGUCUCCACCAAGUUGAGAGACGGUGCGACGGCGGUGAACCUGUCACCGGCCUUUAAGUCUAUAAGCUUUCACGCCAGCACGGUGACCAACCUCGCCCCGAGCAUCGACUUCUUUAGUUGCGCGAUGGCAGAUGCCUCACUCUCCCUGGGAAAUACCAUGAUGGCCACGAUCUACCCUGCCCUGCCCACCCGCAUGGUCGCCAUCACAGGAAUCACCUUCCCGUCCAGCCCGCGCUCGCUGACUGCCUCCCACGACCCGCUCCACAACUACCCGGCUCCUACUUCCAGGGAAAUGCAAUAUAUUUCAUAG